CCCACUAGCUGGUGCACUUCUCAGUCCUCUUUUGGCUUCCGUAGGAGUUAGCAAGGACUGAAGGAAGCAGGCAAUGGGGCAGAGCUUCAGGUCCACAGAGGUUGGCCACUGGCCGUUAGUCUGCUAUUGCUGGCUGGACUGUAGCAGCCUGUCACAGAAAUUAAAGAUCUGCUGGCAUUUUCUGAGUCUUGAGCAUUCCCCAGGGUGUUACAAGUGCAAGGUUUCUCAUUAGUGGCUGAUAAUAUGGCUUAAUAUGAUUUGAGCCUCCUGCAGUUGUGUGAGGCUUCUCAAGGCUUCAGCAUUUUUUAUGUCCUCUGGAGUUUUGUCAGACUGAGAUAUUUCCUUAGGUUUGGCCUCCAGCCCACAAAAGCAACAUCUGCAGGGCUCUCACACAGUGAUGCCAGUCUACCUCAGCCAUGGUUUGCCCUCAGCCUACUGAAGGACAAGUAUGUGGAGGCUCCCCUGGUUUACCUUAGAGCCAAGACUGGGUCAUGGCAUUGACACACAGCUGCCCUCCUAGCUAUAUAUAUAUGUGAGCCCCCAUCUGGGACUGCCUCCUCAGGUGUGCACUCACCCUGGCUCGCUGGGAGAUCCAGUGCUUUGCCUUGUGCUCCUGCCUCAGGCUGGCAGGGGUUGCCAUGAUAAGUACAAAGGCAUUUCUAACAGCUUUAAGACUGGAUAAGCAGGGUCUGAGCAUCGAUCGGUUGGUCUGGGGACACCUCCAGCCUGGGUAAGGUGUGGGUCCUGGCAAUCUGGGAAGCCAGAGGUGUGAGGGGCUCUGCAGUGGACUUACCUUCUGACUGCAGAGAUGGAUGAAGGAGAGACACAGUGGACACACCACUGCCUGUUAGGAAUAUGCGCUUGGGUAUUAGCAGGCACCGGGAAUAAACACUCUUCAAAAUGCUAAGGAAAACACCUGAAGCCAAACUUUCUAUCAGCAGGAGGCCUGUGGCCAAAGCAGCCAGAAAUCACUUGUGCCAGAGUUAAUUUACUUCCCAGCCAUUUUCAAAAUUCCUCUGUCCAGGAAGACUCCGGUGAUUUGGAUGUUUAAUUCUGCCUGAGCAGGUAACAGCAUUACCAGCUGUCUGUACAGUAUGAUCUUUUCAUAUGCAAAAGCUCAGGGUUUAAGUUAAUCUGUGUAGCCAAAGGCACAGAGGAAUUCUGGACAGUGCAGCUGCCAUCUUUAAUACCCACAUUCAGAAUUGCCACACUAUGCAGGUAACCACUGUGGUUUGUGCAAUUUUAAAAUAGAAAAUAUACGUGCUGGCUGUGAUAGGAAAUGAGCCUCAAACCAAGGCAAACCACUGUCUCCACGCCAUAAGGACCAGCCACUGCAUCUGCUCUUAAAGCCCUUGCUUAUACCAAAAGAAGUGAAGCCAGUGAAUUGGAUAUCACAUUUAUGCAACUGGAAAACGUAACAGUUUCAACAACUCGCAGGUUCAAAUUAAUAGGGUUCACUUGAAAAUCAGGUGCUGGUCCCUCGAACAAAAAGCCUGUAUCUUGGUUCAAACAAAAAACAAGACUCAACUCAACAGAGUUAGCGUUAGGUACUAACGACAGGCGCAAGUGCCGCCUCCUCCCCAGGUUGACAACUCUCUCCAGGACCGUGCUGGCAUUUUGGAGAAGUAGGACAGGACACCCCCUGCCUUGAGGCAGAGACAUUUGAGCAUCAGUAUUUUAUUGCAAAGACUAAUUACAUUGCUGUGUACAAGUCA